rnacentral:rRNA from 1 species
GACAGAGGGGGCAAGCGUUGCUCGGAAUUACUGGGCGUAAAGGGCGCGUAGGCGGCACGACAAGUCGGGAGUGAAAGCCCGGGGCUCAACCCCGGAAUGUCUCUCGAAACUGUCGAGCUAGAGUGCAGAAGAGGCAACUGGAAUUCCCAGUGUAGCGGUGAAAUGCGUAGAUAUUGGGAAGAACACCUGAGGCGAAGGCGGGUUGCUGGGCUGACACUGACGCUGAGGCGCGAAAGCCAGGGGAGCGAACGGG